rnacentral:rRNA from 1 species
GGAUGCGAUCUACCAGCACUAAUGCACCGGAUCCCAUCAGAAUCCGAAGUUUAAGCGUGCUUGGGCGGAGUAGUCUAGGAUGGGUGACCCCGGUGGAAGUCCUCGUGUUGCAUCCC